AGCGAACGCUGGCGGCAGGCUUAACACAUGCAAGUCGAGCGCCCGUAGCAAUACGGGAGCGGCAGACGGGUGAGUAACACGUGGGAACGUGCCCUUCGGUUCGGAACAACCCAGGGAAACUUGGGCUAAUACCGGAUACGCCCUUACGGGGAAAGAUUUAUCGCCGGAGGAUCGGCCCGCGUCUGAUUAGCUAGUUGGUGGGGUAAUGGCCCACCAAGGCGACGAUCAGUAGCUGGUCUGAGAGGAUGAUCAGCCACACUGGGACUGAGACACGGCCCAGACUCCUACGGGAGGCAGCAGUGGGGAAUCUUGGACAAUGGGCGCAAGCCUGAUCCAGCCAUGCCGCGUGGGUGAUGAAGGCCCUAGGGUUGUAAAGCCCUUUCGGCGGGGAAGAUAAUGACGGUACCCGCAGAAGAAGCCCCGGCUAACUUCGUGCCAGCAGCCGCGGUAAAAC
rnacentral:rRNA from 1 species